rnacentral:snRNA from 1 species
UCGAAAGCAUCUCGAGCUG